AGACUUACAGGAAUUAUAACAGAGUGGACAACCUUUUCUUGGAAUGAACUUGUCAUAAUUUGAUGCUGAACCAGAGAAGACCAUUGUUUGGGCUUUUCUGCCAUAAAG
ensembl:misc_RNA